rnacentral:lncRNA from 1 species
CCGAGACCAAAGACCCAAUGCGCGUGCAACCGCAUCUGAAGAAAUGCUUUGAAGGAAUCGGGAAACUAGAGUUUGAUUCAAAGUUGGAUAUUCACGCGAUGUUCAGCAGCGAAGGCGAGAAGAUCAAGUUCAGUCAGCCGAUUUCCACGUCUGAUGCGAGGGGCGCAGUGGAGAAAUGGCUGC